AAAAACAUUGCCUCCUGACUAACCCCUAUAGGAGGUACAUCCUGCCCAGUGAAUUAGAUUUUCAACGGCCGCGGUACCCUGACCGUGCGAAGGUAGCAUAAUCAUUCGCCUUUUAAUUGAAGGCUGGCAUGAAUGGACACACGAGAGACCGACUGUCUCCUCUGCACCCUUGAAAAUUAAACUAAAAGUGAAGAUGCUUUUAUACCGGCAUAGGACAAAAAGACCCUGUUGAGUUUUAUUUCAAACGCCUAUUUUUCAAAUUUAAAUAUACUUGAAAGUACUGCUCCCCUGAAAUUUGAUUGGGGCAAUCAAGGACCCAUCAAACCGUCCUGCUCUAUAUAAAUUUAUAAUUAAAUGACCCACUCUAGUGAUUAACAGAAAGAACUACCACAGGGAUAACAGGCUGAUCUUCCUAAAGAGAUCAUAUUGACAGGAAGGUUUGGCACCUCGAUGUUGGCUUAGGAUCCCCAUUAAAUGCAGAAGUUUAAAAGGUGGGUUUGUUCAACCCAUAAAAUCCUACGUGA
rnacentral:rRNA from 1 species